UGGGUUGUGGUUCAGAGGUAGAGCACUCACCUAUCAUGUGUGAGACUGGGUUUGAUCCUCAGCACCACAU
rnacentral:tRNA from 1 species